rnacentral:sRNA from 1 species
CAGUAGCCCAGAUAGUAGCGGCAUCCUCUUGUGGCAUCCCGAUAUUUAUCGGUAUGCCAAACGAGAUAUAGCGCGUAGCUGGAAAUUGC